GAAGAGGAUCAGAAGAAAUACUCCCAGUCCUCACAGACUCACCCCCCAGUCCAGUCCACCCAGGUUUGUGUCAGUGGAAGAGCUAAUGGAGACAGCCAAAGGAGUCACUAAUAUGGCACUGGCCCAUGAGAUAGUAAUGAACAGUGCUUUUCAAGUCAAGCCUUAUGAGCCAAAAGAGGGAAGUUUGGAGAAACAGGUCAAAGAAAUAAUGCACAAAGCAUUCUGGGAUUGCCUUGAGUCACAGCUGAAUGAGGACCCACCAUCAUACAGCCAUGCUAUCACACUGGUUGGUGAAAUUA